CUCGGCAAGGGCGCAGGGGCAUUCUGCCUGGCUGCUCGGAGAUUUGCAGAAGACCUUCCUCACCAUUCUUGACAAACACGGCUCGGCCUGGGACUCUGCUUGCAGACGCCGGCAAGCUGAGAGGACACUGUCUGGCUUUUGUGGAGAGGAAUGGCGUGGAACGGGAGACGGAGCGGAGGCAGCCCCAGGCAAGUGAUCGUCUUCCUUCUGUGCGUUUGCGUGUGGCAGAGCGCGGCCGAAAGCCUCCGCUAUUCUCUGGCGGAGGAGAUGGAGAGGGACUCGUUGGUGGGCAAUAUCGCGCAGGACCUGGGGCUUGCUCCGAGCCAGCUGGCGGCUCGCAAGGCGCGCGUUGUGUCCGAGGGGAGCCAGCAGCUUUUCCGCCUGAACCCGAGCAGCGGAGUGCUGACGGCCAAGGAGUCUCUGGACCGAGAGGAGAUCUGUCCGCAGAGCGAGACCUGCACGCUCUUUUUCACGCUUUUCUUGGACAAUCCUUUACAGUUAAUCCGAGGUGAGGUGGAGGUUGUUGACGUGAACGACAACUCCCCUACAUUCUCCGAGAAGGAGAUGGUUUUUGAGAUCCCCGAAACCACAUCUCCUGGGUCCCGUUUCCUUCUGGACACUGCUCAAGACGCUGAUGCAGGCAGUAAUGGCUUACAGAAUUACAUUCUUGGUUCCAAUUCUCAUUUCUCCCUCUCUCUUGGAACGGAGAAAGACGGAGCAAAAUUUGCCGAGCUCCUUCUAGACCAGCAACUAGACCGAGAAGAGCAGAAGGAGCUGAGUUUACUCAUUACCGCCAUCGACGGAGGCUCACCACCCAGAUCUGGAACGGCUCAGAUCCGGAUAGUGGUGCUGGAUACCAAUGACAACACCCCCAUGUUCAGUCAGGAGGUAUACGAGGUGCGUCUGCCCGAGAACAGCCCCCCAGGGCAACUGGUGGCCAGAGUCCUGGCAACGGAUCCUGACGAAGGGUCCUACGGGAAAGUCCGGUACACCUUUACACAGCUAUCGAAAGGUUCGGCACAGCUUUUUGAUCUUAAUCCUGACACGGGUGAGGUUUUGGUUGUGGGCAACCUGGACUUUGAGGACACGAAAAACCACAAGAUGGUGAUAAAAGCCACAGAUGGCGGUGGUAAUUCUGCUCAUUGCAAAGUGCAGGUGGAGGUCGUGGAUGUGAACGACAAUGCCCCGGAGAUAGCUCUGACCUCACACACUGCCUCCAUUCCCGAGGACGCUCCGCCACGCACCCUGGUGGCACUCUUCAGCGUGCAGGACAGGGACGACGGCGACAACGGCAGAACAGAGUGCAUCAUCGAUGGGGACUUGCCCUUCACUCUCACACCCACUUUCAACAAUUACUACGAGCUGAGAACCAGCGCGGCGCUGGACAGGGAGACGAGGGCAGAGUACAACCUCAGCAUCCGAGCGACGGACUGGGGCCAGCCGCGCCUGAGCGCCCUUGAAAGCCUGUGGGUGCAGGUGGGGGACGUGAACGACAACGCCCCCGCCUUCAGCCAGGAGCUGUACAGCCUGUGGGUGACGGAGAACAACAGGCCGAUGGUGCGCAUCGGGCGCGUGCAGGCGAGCGACGCGGACGCGGGCAGCAACGCGCGCGUGCAGUACGCGCUGGUGCGCGGGGAGGGCGCGGAGCAGCCCGCGCUGUCGGUGAACGCGGAGAGCGGCGAGGUGUACGUGGUGCGGGCGCUGGACUACGAGCGGCUGCGCGCCUUGGAGAUGCGGGUGCGCGCCACGGACGGCGGCUGGCCGGCGCUGAGCGCGCAGGCGGUGCUGCGCGUGCUGGUGCGCGACGAGAACGACAACGCGCCGGUGGUGCUGCACCCGGGCGGCGAGAGCGGCGCGGGCGCGGGCGAGCUGGUGCCGCGCUGGGCGCCGGCGGGCUACCUGGUGGCCAAGGUGGUGGCGGUGGACGCGGACGCGGGCCAGAACGCCUGGCUGUCGUACGAGCUGGCCAAGGCCACGGAGCCGGGGCUCUUCCGCCUCGGGCCGCACAGCGGCGAGCUGCGCACGGCCAGGGCCGUGGCCGAGCGCGACGCGCCCCGACACAGCCUCGUCGUGCUCGUGCGAGACCGCGGCCAGCCGCCGCGCUCGGCCAGCGCCACCCUCGCCGUCGCCCUGCUCCGCGACUUCUCCGACGCCCACGCAAGCCUCGCCCACGACCCGCCGCCCCACGAGCCCGACCACACGCUCACGCUCUACCUCAUCGCCUGCCUGGCCUGCGUCUCCGCGCUCUGCCUGGCCACCGGCCUGGCCGCGCUGCUCACGAAGCUGCGGCGGGACCGGCGCAAGCGCGCCGAGCCCUUGCCCACCUUCCCGACGGCUGUGCCCGACAGCGACGCGGGCUCCCUUCCCCGCAGCCUGGUCUACGACGUCUGCUUGGCCACCGGCACCCUGAGCAGCGACUUUCACUUCCUCGGCCCUCUCUUGCCUUGCUUCCCUGCGGGGGUGACUCCUGGUGUGGCCCCACAGCGGAGCUCGGUGUGCUCGCAAGAGUCGUCGAGACUCGGGGAAGGAGGCGACAGGACUGCACAGGGCAGAGCUCCUCUCUCUGAAGGCACAGGUCCCACUCCCACUGAAGGAGGUUGUGCUGCGAACGGAGGUGGAGCUACAUGUCAGUUCUGAUCAAACCCCUUGGCUCACGCAUCAGUAAGUGAGGAGAAAGACAAUCCUGUCUGUACUCACUGGCUAACAUCCUGGCGCAGAAAAGAGAGCAAAAAGACCAAACACCCACUGAAAAGUACCAGAGAGGUGCAAGUCCUCUCUGUGAGAGAUCAAAAUCCCCUCCCCUCUAGAGCAGUACUUUACUCACGUAGGUAUUUUGUACUUGUGACGUGGAUGAGAAAUGAGCACUGUGUUGUGUGGUGAUUGCACCUAGACUUGAUGCAUGCUUGCGAGACUGCUGCUGCUUCUGAAUCUUAGGAGGAAAACCUGGAAGCAGAUGUUUGAGGGCAGAGCUCCCCUCUCUGAAGACAUGGGUGCCAGACCUGUUGAAGAAGCUUGUGCUGCAGACGGGGGGG